rnacentral:snoRNA from 1 species
AAACUAUUAAGUCUCUGCAGAAAUUUAGAAAAAGCUGGCAAUAACAGUAAAGCCAUGUUAUGAGCCUUAAGGAUAAUUGAGAUCAUUAAGGAGGCUGAAAGUGGCUACAUAA